AAGGAUCAUUACCAAAACACCUCCCAGUAGCAGAACCAUGGUUUUUUUUGGCCCCUUGGGUCUGCUACGCUCAUCAAACCUGUCAUUGCAUGUACGGUGUGGGUUGGGGUGGCAUCCUCCUUUUGUCGGGUUGCCCCUCAAGUAUGUAAACAUGAAUAUAACUUUCAACAACGGAUCUCUUGGCUCUC
rnacentral:misc_RNA from 1 species